CCCAGACUCCUACGGGAGGCAGCAGUGAGGAAUAUUGGUCAAUGGCCGGAAGGCUGAACCAGCCAAGCCGCGUGAAGGACGAAGGUGCCAAGCAUUGUAAACUUCUUUUGUCAAGGGACAAAAUCAGGCUCGAGAGCCUGACCGAGGGUACUUGAAGAAAAAGCAUCGGCUAACUCCGUGCCAGCAGCCGCGGUAAUACGUAGGGGGCAAGCGUUAUCCGGAUUCACUGGGUGUAAAGGGAGCGUAGACGGCGACGCAAGUCUGGAGUGAAAGCCCGGGGCCCAACCCCGGGACUGCUCUGGAAACUGCGUCGCUGGAGUACGGGAGGGGCAGGCGGAAUUCCUGGUGUAGCGGUGAAAUGCGUAGAUAUCAGGAGGAACACCGGUGGCGAAGGCGGCCUGCUGGACUGCGACUGACGUUGAGGCCCGAAAGCGUGGGGAGCAAACAGGAUUAGAUACCCCCGUAGC
rnacentral:rRNA from 1 species